rnacentral:rRNA from 1 species
AUACCGUAUAAUGUCGYAAGACCAAAGCAUGGGACUUUCGGGCCAUGCGCCAUUUGAUGAACCCAUAUGGGAUUAGCUAGUAGGUGGGGUAAAGGCUCACCUAGGCGACGAUCUCUAGCUGGUCUGAGAGGAUGACCAGCCACACUGGAACUGAGACACGGUCCAGACUCCUACGGGAGGCAGCAGUGGGGAAUAUUGCACAAUGGGGGGAACCCUGAUGCAGCCAUGCCGCGUGUAUGAAGAAGGCCUUCGGGUUGUAAAGUACUUUCGGUGAUGAGGAAGGUARUGUAUCUAAUAGGUGCAUUAAUUGACGUUAAUCACAGAAGAAGCACCGGCUAACUCCGUGCCAGCAGCCGCGGUAAUACGGAGGGUGCGAGCGUUAAUCGGAAUGACUGGGCGUAAAGGGCAUGUAGGCGGAUAAUUAAGUUAGGUGUGAAAGCCCUGGGCUCAACCUAGGAAUUGCACUUAAAACUGGUUAACUAGAGUAUUGUAGAGGAAGGUAGAAUUCCACGUGUAGCGGUGAAAUGCGUAGAGAUGUGGAGGAAUACCGGUGGCGAAGGCGGCCUUCUGGACAGAUACUGACGCUGAGAUGCGAAAGCGUGGGGAGCAAACAGGAUUAGAUACCCUGGUAGUCCACGCUGUAAACGAUGUCGAUUUGGAGUUUGUUGCCUAGAGUGAUGGGCUCCGAAGCUAACGCGAUAAAUCGACCGCCUGGGGAGUACGGCCGCAAGGUUAAAACUCAAAUGAAUUGACGGGGGCCCGCACAAGCGGUGGAGCAUGUGGUUUAAUUCGAUGCAACGCGAAGAACCUUACCUGGUCUUGACAUCCACAGAAUCUUGUAGAGAUACGAGAGUGCCUUCGGGAACUGUGAGACAGGUGCUGCAUGGCUGUCGUCAGCUCGUGUUGUGAAAUGUUGGGUUAAGUCCCGCAACGAGCGCAACCCUUAUCCUUUGUUGCCAUUGGUUCGGCCGGGAACUCAAAGGAGACUGCCGUUGAUAAAGCGGAGGAAGGUGGGGACGACGUCAAGUCAUCAUGGCCCUUACGACCAGGGCUACACACGUGCUACAAUGGCGUAUACAAAGAGAAGCGACCUCGCGAGAGCAAGCGGACCUCAUAAAGUACGUCUAAGUCCGGAUUGGAGUCUGCAACUCGACUCCAUGAAGUCGGAAUCGCUAGUAAUCGUGAAUCAGAAUGUCACGGUGAAUACGUUCCCGGGCCUUGUACAC